AACGAACGCUGGCGGCAGGCCUAACACAUGCAAGUCGAGCGAAGCCUUCGGGCUUAGCGGCGGACGGGUGAGUAACGCGUGGGAACGUGCCCUUUGGUACGGAAUAGCCCCGGGAAACUUGGAGUAAUACCGUAUGUGCCCUUCGGGGGAAAGAUUUAUCGCCAAAGGAUCGGCCCGCGUUGGAUUAGGUAGUUGGUGGGGUAAUGGCCUACCAAGCCGACGAUCCAUAGCUGGUUUGAGAGGAUGAUCAGCCACACUGGGACUGAGACACGGCCCAGACUCCUACGGGAGGCAGCAGUGGGGAAUCUUAGACAAUGGGGGAAACCCUGAUCUAGCCAUGCCGCGUGAUCGAUGAAGGCCUUAGGGUUGUAAAGAUCUUUCAGUGGGGAAGAUGAUGACUGUACCCACAGAAGAAGCCCCGGCUAACUCCGUGCCAGCCGCCGCAGUAAUAC
rnacentral:rRNA from 1 species